AUGGUAAGCGACGACUCUACAGCAACUCCGCAGCACCACCUUGUCACUUGUGUACUGAACACAUCAAUGAGAGCAAGGGCAAAACCUCUGCCUGUCCAUGAAUCAGUCAGAGAUCGAUGCACCAAGCUAGACGCGCUGCUACCGGCCGUGAACUCCUUGCAGAGCGCGCGGGACGAUGGUGACUACGACUACGAGCUAUUAAUAUGGACGCACGCCCGUGACUCUGACGCGGCAGAAACACUUCCUCCCAAGCCACUAUACCUCAUCUCCUCCUCGACUCGUGCUAUGGGAAACGACAUAGCAUCUCGCACGGCCGCGGCGUCGCAAGAUCAGCCUGCCGAGGUUCAAGCGCUACAUGAUGGUCAAAGGAGAGUGCGUGUACCUGUCAUGAACGACUACGAGGAUCCAUGGGACAACGCCAACGACGUACCAGGACAUGGCGUUACCGAUCUGAACGGCAGCGGCGCACGCCGUGAUUCCGUGGGAGCUGGAGGUGCCGAUAUUGGCGCUGCUUCCUCGUCAAGGCGAAAGAAGAAAGGGAGAAAGCCAGGUGUUGGCUUCUUCCGUGGCGAGCGCGUUCAUGACGACUUCACUCAGUUCAGUGUCGUGCUUUGCGGCGACGGCCUUAGCAAGCCCGUCGUUCCUCCCAAUCUGUCUCAGAUCGUGCCUGGGAAAGCCCCCCCGAGUCGUCCGUAUCGGCACUGGCGGUGA
rnacentral:rRNA from 1 species